UUGUGGCUCACCCAAAAUUUCAAAAAAAUCCUGUAUACAUCGCUGGCGAUUCUUACUCCGGUAUCCCUGUUCCAGUCAUUGUCAAGAAAGUUUCUGAUGGUAACACAGCUGGAAAUUUACCGCUAAUCAACCUCAAAGGUUAUGUUCUAGGAAACCCGUUAACCGACUGGAAACAUGACUUCAACUCGAGAAUUAAGUUUGCUCAUAGAGUAGGACUUUUAUCUGAUGAACUCUACGAGGAAACUAAAUUGGAUUGUCAAGGAGAGUACGUUUUCCCA